GAUGAACGCUAGCGGGAGGCCUAGCACAUGCAAGCCGAGCGGUAUUGUUUCUUCGGAAAUGAGAGAGCGGCGUACGGGUGCGUAACACGUGUGCAACCUGCCUUUAUCUGGGGGAUAGCCUUUCGAAAGGAAGAUUAAUACUCCAUAAUAUAUUGAACGGCAUCGUUUAAUAUUGAAAGCUCCGGCGGAUAGAGAUGGGCACGCGCAAGAUUAGCUAGUUGGUGAGGUAACGGCUCACCAAGGCGAUGAUCUUUAGGGGGCCUGAGAGGGUGAUCCCCCACACUGGUACUGAGACACGGACCAGACUCCUACGGGAGGCAGCAGUGAGGAAUAUUGGUCAAUGGGUGCAAGCCUGAACCAGCCAUCCCGCGUGAAGGACGACUGCCCUAUGGGUUGUAAACUUCUUUUGUAUAGGGAUAAACCUACCCUCGUGAGGGUAGCUGAAGGUACUAUACGAAUAUGCACCGGCUAACUCCGUG
rnacentral:rRNA from 1 species